UACAGAGGGUGCGAGCGUUAAUCGGAAUUACUGGGCGUAAAGCGCGCGUAGGCGGCUUUUCAAGUCGAUUGUGAAAUCCCCGGGCUUAACCUGGGAACUGCAGUCGAGACUGUCUAGCUAGAGUAUGGGAGAGGGAAGUGGAAUUUCAGGUGUAGCGGUGAAAUGCGUAGAUAUCUGAAGGAACAUCAGUGGCGAAAGCGAACUUCCUGGACCAAUACUGACGCUCAUGUGCGAAAGCGUGGGGAGCAAACAGGG
rnacentral:rRNA from 1 species